AUUGAACGCUGGCGGCAUGCUUUACACAUGCAAGUCGAACGGCAGCACGGGCUUCGGCCUGGUGGCGAGUGGCGAACGGGUGAGUAAUAGAUCGGAACGUACCCAGAAGUGAGGGAGAACGUAGCGAAAGAUACGCUAAUACCGCAUAAGAUCUAUGGAUGAAAGCAGGGGACCGCAAGGCCUUGUGCCCCUGGAGCGGCCGAUAUCUGAUUAGCUAGUUGGUGAGGUAAAGGCGCACCAAGGCGACGAUCAGUAGCUGGUCUGAGAGGACGACCAGCCACACUGGAACUGAGACACGGUCCAGACUCCUACGGGAGGCAGCAGUGGGGAAUUUUGGACAAUGGGCGCAAGCCUGAUCCAGCAAUGCCGCGUGAGUGAAGAAGGCCUUCGGGUUGUAAAGCUCUUUUGUCAGGGAAGAAACGGUAGAGGCUAAUAUCCUUUGCUAAUGACGGUACCUGAAGAAUAAGCACCGGCUAACUACGUG
rnacentral:rRNA from 1 species